GAAAGUUUUUCUUCGGAGAAGCGAGUAGAGUGGCGCACGGCCUGAGUAACGCGUAGGUAGUCUACCCUUAUAUUCGGGAUAACAUUGCGAAAGUGGUGCUAAUACCGGAUACGCUUCAGGUAGCGCGAGGUAUUUGAAGGAAAGGAGGCCUCUUCUUGAAAGCUUCCGUAUAGGGAUGAGCCUGCGUACCAUUAGCUGGUUGGUGGGGUAAAGGCCUACCAAGGCGACGAUGGUUAGCGGGUCUGAGAGGAUGAUCCGCCACACUGGAACUGGAACACGGACCAGACUCCUACGGGAGGCAGCAGUGAGGAAUAUUGCGCAAUGGGGGCAACCCUGACGCAGCGACGCCGCGUGGGUGAGGAAGGUUUUCGGAUCGUAAAGCCCUGUCAGGUGGGAAGAAGUGUUAUUUGGACAAUACCCGGAUAAUUUGACGGUACCACCAGAGGAAGCACCGGCUAACUCCGUGCCAGCAGCCGCGGUAAUACGGAGGGUGCGAGCGUUGUUCGGAAUUACUGGGCGUAAAGGGCGCGUAGGCGGCUUGAUAAGUCAGAUGUGAAAGCCCACGGCUCAACCGUGGAAGUGCAUCUGAAACUGUCUGGCUUGAGUAUGGGAGAGGGAAGUGGAAUUCCUGGUGUAGAGGUGAAAUUCGUAGAUAUCAGGAGGAACACCGGUGGCGAAGGCGACUUUCUGGACCAAUACUGACGCUGAGGCGCGAAAGCGUGGGGAGCAAACAGGAUUAGAUACCCUGGUAGUCCACGCCGUAAACGAUGAGAACUAGAGAUAGGGGGUGUUGAUCCCUUCUGUCCCGGAGCUAACGCAUUAAGUUCUCCGCCUGGGGAAGUAC
rnacentral:rRNA from 1 species